CCUACGGGAGGCAGCAGUGGGGAAUAUUGGGCAAUGGGCGCAAGCCUGACCCAGCAACGCCGCGUGAAGGAAGAAGGCUUUCGGGUUGUAAACUUCUUUUCUCAGGGACGAAGCAAGUGACGGUACCUGAGGAAUAAGCCACGGCUAACUACGUGCCAGCAGCCGCGGUAAUACGUAGGUGGCAAGCGUUAUCCGGAUUUACUGGGUGUAAGGGGCGUGUAGGCGGGAAAGCAAGUCAGAUGUGAAAACCACGGGCUCAACCUGUGGCCUGCAUUUGAAACGGUUUUUCUUGAGUACUGGAGAGGCAGACGGAAUUCCUAGUGUAGCGGUGAAAUGCGUAGAUAUUAGGAGGAACACCAGUGGCGAAGGCGGUCUGCUGGACAGCAACUGACGCUGAGGCGCGAAAGCGUGGGGAGCAAACAGGAUUAGAUACCCCGGUAGUC
rnacentral:rRNA from 1 species